CAGUAGCCGCGGUAAUACGAGGGGGGCAAGCGUUGUUCGGAAUUAUUGGGCGUAAAGGGCGCGUAGGCGGUUUGGCAAGUUUGGUGUGAAAUCUUCGGGCUCAACUCGAAGUCUGCAUCGAAAACUGCCGGGCUUGAGUAUGGGAGAGGUGAGUGGAAUUUCCGGUGUAGUGGUGAAAUGCGUAGAUAUCGGAAGGAACACCUGUGGCGAAAGCGGCUCACUGGACCAUAACUGACGCUGAGGCGCGAAAGCUAGGGGAGCAAACAGGAUUAGAUACCCCCGUAGUCCCUGUCUCUUAUAC
rnacentral:rRNA from 1 species